rnacentral:lncRNA from 1 species
GAAAUCUUCUAGCUCAUCUGCAGUUCUUUGCUUCCCACUUCAUGCACCUCUAGAUGCACUGGAAUGCCACCUUUCAACCUGGCAGACCUGAAUGAUACAAAAAGCUGGAUUCACUAGUCCUUGGAAAGCUGAACGAGACCAGAAUGAUUCUCAAGAGGAAAAAUCAAGCACACUAAAGCUGGCGAUGAAACCUCAAGGAAUCAUCUGCUGAUAGAAACAAUUCAUCAUAAACUGAGAAAACAUCAAGUUGCUCAAAUGAAAACAAAAAACUACUGGAGCAUGCGGUCAUUCGAAGAAGAUGGGUCACUAAAAGAAGAUGUGAGAUGCAAGCACUAGGGGACUGAAGACCAGAGAAAGGCAAAAGGAAUCCUCAGGUUGUCUGUGCAGAGACCCCAAGAUAGAGCUAUGUCCCAGGCAUGGAACAACCAGCAGUAUGAGUAGCUCAGAAGACUUCGGGAGAAAAUGUGGAAGAUGAAAUUAAAUGGCAAUCUAAUGAUCCUGAAUUUUUAAAGAAAAGAUUGACACAAUGAAUACAGUAUUUUGGGUUGAAUUAGUGAUAAGUACAUAUAUAAUAAAGUAAAUUUAAAGAUAAAAAUAUAUUAAUUGUGGGGAAAAUACAAAGAUGUACAGGAAAGGAAAAGUAACCAUAUUUUAUAUGACUCAGCUGGGAAUACAGUUUUCAUAGCCACAGUAACAGAAUAUUAGCUUUAACCAAAAACACCACAUUAUUAUAUCGGGAGGAUGAAGAAGGAAAGGAUGCAUGUGUAUGGAAAAAAAAAAGGAGCUAAAUGGUCAUCUUCCAUAAGGGAAAGUCAAUAGAUAAAGCCUAAAACUGGAAAAUUAAGAAAUAGCAAUAUAACCAUGCCAUGCAGAGACAUGGAAAUGAAUAGUACGAUAACCACCUAAAAAAGGUGACAAUGACUGUUCUGGAGAAAGAGACACUGUAGAACAAGAGCUGCAAAAUGCUAGGCUUUUAAAAAAAUUUUAUAAAUCUUACAGAAUUGUUUGAA